GUCCGUUUCUGUAUCCAUGCCCGUUGUGACCGUCCUUUACUUGCUGACCAAUGUGGCUUACAAUGUCAUCUUACAUAUGCCUUCUUUCCCGAAGCUGUUGCUGUGACAUUUGGUAAUAAGGUCCAAGGCCAUGUUCAGGGACUAAUUCCUAUUACAGUGGCCAUGGCUUGUAUCAGUGAACUGAACUCAAUCAGUCAUUACAGCAUCCAGAAAUGCCAAUUGCUAUGUUUGCAGAGCAUCUAACUGAUGGCAGCCAAAGCCUCUCAUUCUUCACACCCAGUUUUCAGGCUCCUUUAUGUGGGCCCAAAGGAAGGGCACCUUCCCUUUGGUUUAAGCAUGAUCCCUGUGGAAUGAUUCACACUGGUCCCUGCUCUUCUCUCCAAACUAAGACUCUUCUUUCCAGUAGUUUAUUGCUUGUGUACCCUCUCUAUGAGAUACAGUCAACUCCUUAAUUGGAAUUGGAAUUUAUCUGGAAUUCCUGCAUAUUUCUUAAGAGUAUAUUUAUCAGCAAAAAUGACCUUCAAAUUUACAAAGACUAUGGUAAAAAAACAAACUCAACUUUGUUUCCACUGCACUCUGUGACUUGCAAUGCCAACCAUGUAAAUGGAAUAAAAGCUUGUGUGUGUAAAAUACAAGGACUUCCCUCUUUCACCCCACUCCAAAACACACUCACACCUACGUAUCUGUGAGCAUUUAGCAGUUUCUGGCACAAGCCAGGCACUUAACAAAUAUUACUCUCCCUUUCCUUUGUAUAGAACUGUAUACAUCACCAAAAAUUGGCUUAGCGAAUUAAUGGCUAAAGCAAAAAGCAGGGAGAUAACUCAACUGUUAGAAAUGUGAGCUUUGGUAUCAAAACUGGUUUUGAAUUCUGAUUUCACCAUGUAGCAGUUCUCUGUCCUUAGGAAAACUACUCAAACUCUGAUUCUCAGUUUCUUCAAACACAAAGUAAGGAUAAUACCACUAGGCCACAGGAUGGUUGUUAAAAGUAAUAAGCUAUUGCAUACAAAGCACUUAACACAGUACCUAGCACAUAGUAUGUUCUCAAUUAUAAAACCAAAACAUUUUAAAUUAAAAAAAUAGUGCAUACUUACUAAUCAUUACAGAAAUGGAAAACAGAAUCCCAAUGACACAUUAGGAUGACCACUAUAUAAAAAAAAUAGAAAAUAACAAGUUUUGGCAAAUAUGUAGAACCUAGUAGGGAAGGUUCUCAAAAAACUAAAUGUUAGAAUGGCCAUAUGAUCCAGCAAUCCCACCUGUGGGUAUAUAUCUAAAAGAACUUAAAGCAGGAUCCCAAAAAAAUAUUUAUACACCCAUGUUCAUUGCAGCAUUAUUCACAAUAGCCAAGAGGUGGAAGGAGCCAAAUGUCCAGUGAUAGAUGAAUAAAGAAAAUGUAGUAAAUAUAAAUAAUCAAAUACUAUUCAGCCUUUAGAAAUUAGGAAAUUCUAUUACAUGCCACAACAUGGAUGAACCUCGAGGACACCACGCUAAGUGAAAUAAGCCAGUCACAAAUAUGAGAUGUCUAGGAUGCUCAAAAUUAUGGAAACAGAAAGUAGGAGGGUAGUU